AUGGCCACCGUGGCCAGUGCUGUGCUGAUCCAAAGCCAGGAGCCAAGUGCUUCCUCCUGGUCUCACAUGCAGGUGCAGGGCCCAAGCACUUGGGCCAUCCUCCACUGCCCUCCAGGGCCACAGCAGAGAGCUGGACUAGAACCCGGUGCCCAUAUGGGAUGCCGGCGCUACAGGCGGAGGAUUAACCAAGUGAGCCAUGGCGCUGGCCCCAACCUGGGCCAUCUUCUACUGCUUUCCCAGGCCACAGGAGAGAAAUGGAUUGGAAGUGGAGAAGCCGGAACCCAAACCAGCGCCCACAUGGGAUGCCAGCACUGCAGGUGGCGGCUUUACCCAGGAUGCCAUGGCGCCAGCCCCGGGGCUGUGUUUUGGUUACAGCUCACCCAGAAAGUGAGAUGGAAAGCUGAAGCCCACGAUGGUCGCAGCACCUGCCAUUUUUAUUUCUCCUAUAGGGCGCUUACGGAUGACGCACAAGCGGCUGCUCCACUGUUUCAGGAAACAGUGACUGGAAAACAGAUCUAGAAAAGCUCUCCACGGGGACAGGACUGCCUGUGCCCUCAGCUUCCCCGGAGCCCUACGCCGUGCACAGGGUGGCCCGGAACCUGAGCCCCGCCCCUCGGUCCCAGCGGGCUCCGAUCCUUGUCGGGGGCUCGACUCUUAAAUAAGGUGAGUGAUUUUGUUCUUAGCUCUGAAAUGAUACGUUAUACAUAUCUAUCUAAUGUAUGCAUUUACAGACACGUGUGAAGAUGGGAUUUUGUAUAAAAGAAGUGCAUGAGCAAAAUCCUGAAAUGAACCGUGUGCUGUCCACUUGGGGCGGGUGCUGCUUGCGUCCCGGAUCAGAGCGCCUGGGGGAUGCGGCUGCUCCCCGUGAUCCCGCUUGCUGCCAGUGCAUCUCGGGGGGCCGUGGACGGUGGGUGACUGCCCUGCCCCUCCCCCACCUUGCAGGGAUGACCCCGGGAAGCAGGCAAAGCACCAGAGGCCCUGGCCGCCCAGGAAACAGGAAUGUCGCCUGAGCUGUUCCCAGGUACAGAAUGGGUGGCGCACAGCAGGGCUGAUUUACCGGCGACGAAACCGCGGGGCACGCGGGUCCCACUAGAGUGACUCAGGCUGAGACCUGCGAAGAGGUGGGGGUCGUGAGCCUGUGAGGUUCAGGUCUUACCAUCAGUGGGACCCGAUCCACGCCUCAGUCUCGGGAAAGGGUGGGAAGUGCAGGUAACAAAAUACAUUGUGAUACAUCCGUGCUACAUCCAUGCUACAUCCAUGAUGCAUCCACACACACGCACACACUCCUGCACACACUCAUGCACACACACAAACAUGUGCAUACAUGCACACACCACAACCACACACACACCUGCACACACACUCAUGCACACACAGGAAUGCACACACUCACAAAUGUGCACACACACAAACAUGUGCACAUAAGCACACACCACAACCGCACACACACUCUCUACACACGUGUGAAGGUGAUCUGCCUGCGUUCUUCCCGUCCCUCCAGGAUCUGUGUGCCUGUGAA
rnacentral:lncRNA from 1 species